CAAUAGCGUAUAUUAAAGUUGUUGCAGUUAAAAGCUCGUAGUUGGAUUUCUGGUGGGAAUGUUUGGCCGGCUCAAUGAGUUUUGUGCCUAUAUGUUCUCGCCAUCCUUGAGGAAAACUUGCUUGGCAUUAAGUUGUCGAGUUUGGGAUCCUCAUCGUUUACUGUGAAAAAUUAGAGUGUUCAAAGCAGGCUUAUGCCGUUGAAUACAUUAGCAUGGAAUAAUAAGAUAGGACCUUGGUACUAUUUUGUUGGUUUCUAAAACUGGAAGUAAUGAUUGAUAGGGAUAGUUGGGGGUGCUAGUAUUCAACGGCCAGAGGUGAAAUUCUUGGAUUCGUUGAAGACUAACUUAUGCGAAAGCAUUCACCAAGGAUGUCUUCUUUAAUCAAGAACGAAAGUUGGGGGAUCGAAGACGAUCAGAUACCAU
rnacentral:rRNA from 1 species